UACGGGGGGAGCAAGCGUUGUUCGGAUUUACUGGGCGUAAAGGGCGUGUAGGCGGCCAGAUAGGUCCGUUGUGAAAACUCGAGGCUCAACCUCGAGAUGUCGACGGAAACCAUCUGGCUAGAGUCCGGAAGAGGAGAGUGGAAUUCCCGGUGUAGCGGUGAAAUGCGCAGAUAUCGGGAAGAACACCCGUGGCGAAGGCGGCUCUCUGGGACGGUACUGACGCUGAGACGCGAAAGCGUGGGGAGCGAACAGG
rnacentral:rRNA from 1 species